rnacentral:tRNA from 3 species
GCGGAAGUAAUUCAGUGGUAGAAUGUCUCCUUGCCAAGGAGAAUGUCGCGAGUUCGAGCCUCGUCUUCCGCUCCA